GUGAAUCAUCGAAUCUUUGAACGCAUAUUGCACCCUCUGGUAUUCCGGAGGGUACACCUGUUUGAGCGCCAUUUCGAACCUCAAAGCAUAGCUUUGGUGUUGGGUAAAAAGUCUUUUUAAAUGAGGGACUUACCCUUAACUCGUAGGAGGUCAUUACCCAACUUCUCCCAGCGUAGCAGGCUUUACGCAAUCGCUCGGGGAUAGGAGGUUUUUGAUCACCCCCAAAUUAUUUUCAGUUUUGGCCUCAAAUCAGGUGGGGAUACCCGCUGAACUUAAGCAUAUCAAUAAGCGGAGGA
rnacentral:misc_RNA from 1 species